rnacentral:rRNA from 1 species
UACGUAGGGUCCGAGCGUUGUCCGGAAUUACUGGGCGUAAAGGGCUCGUAGGCGGCCAACUAAGUCAUACGUGAAAUCCCUCGGCUUAACCGGGGAACUGCGUCUGAUACUGGAUGGCUUGAGUUCGGGAGAGGGAUGCGGAAUUCCAGGUGUAGCGGUGAAACGCGUAGAUAUCUGGAGGAACACCGGUGGCGAAGGCGGCAUCCUGGACCGAGAUUGACGCUGAGGCGCGAAAGCUAGGGGAGCAAACGGG